GGCUCAAUGGUCUAGUGGUAUGAUUCGCGCUUCGGGACGGCUUCAGUCCUCCCUUGCUUGGACAUAAGUAACAUAAUAUGUGCGAGGUCUCGGGUUCGAUCCCCGAUUGAGCCC